rnacentral:lncRNA from 1 species
CCAACACAUGUGUUGGCAUGGGAGGCUAGCAGCACCGAGAGCAAUUUACAUUCAGCUUCCCAGCCUGCAAGAGACAGCAUAUCAGCCCCUGGGAAGGCUUCGGAGACUUGUCAGCAGUCUGUAGCUUAUUUCUGUGUGUGUGAGGGUGUGUGUGUGUGUGUCUCCCUCUCUCUCUCUCUUUCUCUCUCUCCCUCUCUCUCUCUCACCAUUUCCAGGCUGGAAUCACUGUGGAGGAAUAAGCAACAAAGUCUUGUCAAGAUCUUAUCUCAGGGUAAUGACUAGUUAAAAAUGAAAGGCUAAAAUAUUGAUUUUCUUUAGAGGAAUAAUUGAGUGUUUGAUGUAGAGAACACCCAGUUUCUUCCCGAGGAAAGCUGAGCAGGGCUACAUUAGCAGUCCGUGUCUCUGACAGCAGCAGGGCUGGGUUUAAGCAGCGGCUGCUUUGCCUGGGGAGCACCCGUAAAUGGACUUUGGUCUCAAUGCUUUGACUCUUUGUCGUGGUUUUGGAUGUUGGAAUACGGGCGGUGAUCUCUUGUCCUCUAAAAACUCACCUGAUUUAAAGGAAAGAUGAGUGAAGAACCAAAGGAGAAAAAUGCCAAACCUGCUCAUAGGAAAA